GAUUAGAUACCCUAUUAUUUUAAAUGUAAAUUAUUAUACUAAAGUAGUAAUAGUUAAGUUCUUUAAAUUUAAAGAUUUUGGCGGUAUUUUAGUCUAUUCAGAGGAACCUGUUCUGUAAUUGAUAAUCCACGAUUAAUUUAACUUGAUUUAAUAAUUUGUAUAUCCGCGUUUAUAAAUGAUUUUAAAAGAAUUUAAAUUUUUAGGAUUUUUUAUUAAAAAAUAUAUCAGAUCAAGGUGCAGUUUAUAAUUAAGAAGAAAUGGGUUACAAUAAAUUUAUUUAUAUGGAUUAAUAUAUAAAAUUAUAUUAUGAAGGAGGAUUUGAUAGUAAUAAAAUUUAAUUAAAUUUUAUGAUUUUAGCUCUAAAAUAUGUACACAUCGCCCGU
rnacentral:rRNA from 1 species